CUCAUCUUUAACGCUGUAAAUUAUUUACAUCAGAAGCAAAGAGACACUAGGCCAGGCAGAAAUGGUGACAUCCAUGUGCUGGUUUAUGCUUCCUCUUUCGUAUACUGCGUCUGAGCAUCCUCUUGAGCCUGAGCAUGCUGGUAUUAAAGGGACCUUGACUCAGAGCCCUCUAGCCAGACCGAAAAUUACCUGUGACCUGAGAAGGCUUUUUCAUGAGUGACAAAACUGGCUUACCAGCAGUUUCCCCCUGAGGACAAAGAAGCUGCAGGCUUGUUUUGAUUUCAGUACCAUCCAUAAAGGCAGAGCUGGGGACCGAACCCAGAGCCUUGCGCUUGCUAGGCAAGCGCUCUACCACUGAGCUAAAUCCCCAACCCCUCAAACUCUUUUUAAAAUUAAAUUCGUAUUUCUGUGGGUGCAUGUGUAUUUGUAUGUGCACACAAGUGCAGGUUCCUGUGAUGGCCAGAGAGGGCGCUGGAUCCCUAGGAGCUGGAGUAUAGGUUGCUGUGAACACUCUCAUAGGAGUACUGGGAAAUAAACUGAGAUGUUCAGCCAGAGCCAUUUGUGCUUGACUGCUGAACCAUCUCUGUAGCCUCUGACCUUGAACUCUGGAUUGUUCUACUUCUACCUGUGAGUGCUGGGAUUAUAGGCAUGCAUGCGCCAUGCUAGGCUUGUGAGUGUUAUAGAUGGAACCCAGGGCUUUCUGCUUGCUAUGUAAGCAAUUUACCAACUAAGGCACAACCACAGCACCUCCCCCUCCCCCUUCUUCAUCCCAGUGUUGGGAAUUAAACCAGGGACAUUACAGACACUGAGUAAGUUUGUUCUAUCAUUGAGCUACAUCCCUAGCCUAGAAACUGUAUGUUUUAUUUUAUAUCUGUAUUCCACACAUUUAAUUCUAACAAUUAUGAGGCAGAGGCAGGCUGUGAGUUCAAGGUCAACCGGGUCUACAUAGCUAGUUCCAGACCAGCCAGAACCUCAUAGUGAGAGACCCCCAAACACAUCGAAGCCAUAUAUAUAUAUUACAUAUACAUAUAAUAUUAUAUAUUACAUAUAUAUAUUACAUAUUUUGCCUGCACAUACAUACGUUUGUUCACCACAUUUGUGCAGUGCCCUGGAAGCCAUUCGAUCCACUGGGACUCGAGUCACAGACGGUUGUGAGCCACCAAUAUGGGUGCUGGGAAUUGAAACAGGGGUCAUUUGGAAGAAUAACCACUGAGCCACCUCCCCAACCCCAGAGACUGUUUUUAAUCCCUCAUUGUUUCACCUCAGUAUCAACACCAACUCUGUGGGGAAGAGCAGGUUAUGUUAUUCCUGAGAACACUGAGGUACACGGGUUAGCAACCGAUUCAAAGUUGCCCAGUGAACAUGCUGUCUGACUGUUGUUUGUGCCUUUGACCUCGGGCCUCAGAGACAAGGGCUGAAAGAGCACCAGGCUCCUUCAGAUCCAGCCGCAGCAGAGGCAGCUUGGAUCGUUCCAGGGAGCCCCGGGUAGGCGGUCUUGAGGAGAGGCUGCACAGGAAAUUUGGUCUAUUGUUUGAAACAAGAGGUGCAAACAAGUCCUGGACUUUGAAGUGCUGAGUAACAGAUUCCUCUGGGAGCAGA